AUUGAACGCUGGCGGCAUGCUUUACACAUGCAAGUCGAACGGUAACAGGCCGCAAGGUGCUGACGAGUGGCGAACGGGUGCGUAAUGCAUCGGAACGUGCCCAGUCGUGGGGGAUAACUACUCGAAGCAGUAGCUAAUACCGCAUACGACCUAAGGAUGAAAGCGGGGGACCGCAAGGCCUCGCGCGAUUUGAGCGGCCGAUGUCAGAUUAGGUAGUUGGUGGGGUAAAGGCUCACCAAGCCAACGAUCUGUAGCUGGUCUGAGAGGACGAGCAGCCACACUGGGACUGAGACACGGCCCAGACUCCUACGGGAGGCAGCAGUGGGGAAUUUUGGACAAUGGGCGCAAGCCUGAUCCAGCAAUGCCGCGUGCAGGAAGAAGGCCUUCGGGUUGUAAACUGCUUUUGUACGGAACGAAACGGCUCUGGUUAAUACCCGGGGCUAAUGACGGUACCGUAAGAAUAAGCACCGGCUAACUACGUG
rnacentral:rRNA from 1 species